AGUGAACGCUGGCGGCAUGCCUUACACAUGCAAGUCGAACGGCAGCGCGGGGCAACCUGGCGGCGAGUGGCGAACGGGUGAGUAAUAUAUCGGAACAUACCCUAGAGUGGGGGAUAACGUAGCGAAAGUUACGCUAAUACCGCAUACGCACUAAGGUGGAAAGUGGGGGAUUCGCAAGAACCUCAUGCUCAUGGAGUGGCCGAUAUCUGAUUAGCUAGUUGGUGAGGUAAAGGCUCACCAAGGCAACGAUCAGUAGCUGGUUUGAGAGAACGACCAGCCACACUGGAACUGAGACACGGUCCAGACUCCUACGGAGGCAGCAGUGGGGAAUUUUGGACAAUGGGGGCAACCCUGAUCCAGCAAUGCCGCGUGAGUGAAGAAGGCCUUCGGGUUGUAAGACUCUUUUGUCUAGGGAAGAAACGGUAGAGAGGCUAAUAAUCUCUUGCUAAUGACGGUACCUGAAGAAUAAGACACCGGCUAACUACGUGCCAGCAGCCGGGGUAACUAGG
rnacentral:rRNA from 1 species